GACGAACGCUGGCGGCGUGCCUAAUACAUGCAAGUAGAACGCACAGUUUAUACCGUAGCUUGCUACACCAUAGACUGUGAGUUGCGAACGGGUGAGUAACGCGUAGGUAACCUGCCUGGUAGCGGGGGAUAACUAUUGGAAACGAUAGCUAAUACCGCAUAAUAUUAAUUAUUGCAUGAUAAUUAAUUGAAAGGUGCAAUUGCACCACUACCAGAUGGACCUGCGUUGUAUUAGCUAGUAGGUGAGGUAACGGCCCACCUAGGCGACGAUACAUAGCCGACCUGGGAGGGUGAUCGGCCACACUGGGACUGAGACACGGCCCAGACUCCUACGGGAGGCAGCAGUAGGGAAUCUUCGGCAAUGGACGAAAGGCUGAACGAGCAACGCCGCGUGAGGGAAGAAGGUUUUCGGAUCGUAAAGCUCUGUUGUAAGAGAAGAAAGGGUGUGAGAGUGGAAAGUUCACACUGUGACGGUAUCUUACCAGAAAGGGACGGCUAACUACGUG
rnacentral:rRNA from 1 species